rnacentral:tRNA from 1 species
UCCCUUGUAGCUCAGUCGGUAAAGAAUCUGCCUGCAGUGCAGGAGACCUGGGUUCGAUCCCUGGAUUGGGAA